GAUGAACGCUAGCUACAGGCUUAACACAUGCAAGUCGAGGGGUAACGAGAGGAAAGCUUGCUUUCCUUGUCGACGACCGGCGCACGGGUGAGUAACGCGUAUCCAACCUGCCCCCAACUAAGGAAUAACCUUGCGAAAGUAAGACUAAUACCUUAUAAUUUCCUCAGAUGACAUCUGACGAGGAAUAAAGAUUUAUCGGUUGUGGAUGGGGAUGCGUCUGAUUAGCUUGUUGGCGGGGUAACGGCCCACCAAGGCAACGAUCAGUAGGGGUUCUGAGAGGAAGGUCCCCCACAUUGGAACUGAGACACGGUCCAAAAGCCUACGGGAGGCAGCAGUGAGGAAUAUUGGUCAAUGGGCGGAAGCCUGAACCAGCCAAGUAGCGUGCAGGAUGACGGCCCUAUGGGUUGUAAACUGCUUUUAUACAGGAAUAAAGUUAGCCACGUGUGGUUAUUUGUAGGUACUGUAUGAAUAAGGACCGGCUAAUUCCGUGCCAGCCGCCGCCGUAA
rnacentral:rRNA from 1 species